rnacentral:rRNA from 1 species
GACGAACGCUGGCGGCGUGCUUAACACAUGCAAGUCGAGCGGCGCGGCGAACGGGUGAGUAACGCGUGAGUAACUGCCCCCCUCUCUGGGAUAACAGUUGGAAACGGCUUCUAAUACCGGAUAGUGGGGGAUGACUCGCGUCCUAUCAGCUUGUUGGUGGGGUAGUGGCCUACCAAGGCGACGACGGGUAGCCGGCCUGAGAGGGCGACCGGCCAGAGAGGGCUGAGGUAGGGGCCAAAGGGCUACGGGAGGCAGGAGUGGGGAAUAUGGCACAAUGGGGGAAACCCUGAUGGAGAAAGGAGCGAGGGGGAGGACGGGCUUGGGGGUGUAAACAGCAUUCAGCGAAGAGGGGGUAGUGGCAGAAGAAGCACCGGCUAACUACGUGCCAGCAGCCGCGGUAAUUC